rnacentral:lncRNA from 1 species
UGUGACUUUUAUUAAUUAGAUGGAGUGAAUUUCCCAUAAUGACCCUACUCUCUCUUAUAGAGAGGUCCCUUUUUGGACAAAUUCUUUGACCGUGAAGCGCCAUGGGAUGACCUUUUCCUAUUCUGCUCUUGCUUCACAUGGUAAACAAUAUUGCCAAGAAAAGUUUCAUGGGCCUUUUUUUUAAGUUUUAAUUUUUUUAAUAUUUUCAUUCAAGAAUUAUAUUAAACUGAAGAGGCUUUUUGUCUACUUCAUUAGAUUCAUGCAUCUUUGUUGAAAUAGUGUACUUGACAGCAAUCUAUUUCCAUAACAUUUUUUUCAGUAUUUUAUAUUUAUUAAAAAAUUAAUUAUUUAAAAAAAGAGGCCCCAUUUACUGAAUUCGCCUUAGGCCCCCAGAUGUAUUGGGCCGCCCCUGUGUACAGGUACAAGAGAUUAGAACCCUUGAACUAUGCCCCCCUCAACCAACAGCCAGCUGAGAGCAUGACAGUCAAGAGUGAGCAGGAUGUUAACAGUUUUAAAUCAAAAAUUAGCAUCCCUGACAUAAACUCGGCAUGGCCUUGAGGUGAUGAGAUGUCAGCACCGUCACUUGAAAUGGCACAGUAAAAUGGGAUGGCCAGCAGCUGAUGAAUGGGCAGCAUUAUCACGUGCUAACUGUUAGUAAAACCUAGAAUCUGAGACAUGAAUAGAAAGGUCAAAGGAAACUUAGAGAUUUCAGGAAUCCUAGAAAUCUUUCUUAAAGUUCUAUUGAUAGAACCCCCUGAUUCAGUAAACAACCAUGUAAUAGUAAGAGGAAAAAAAAUCACCUGUAUUGCAACCUAACAAGAAAAUUUAGACAUUUACAAUUGUACCUUGCCUAUGAUCUCAUAAUAAUAGGAUGAAACAAAUUUAUGAUAUCAGAAGUCACAAACAGAAGGACGAUGAAGAAAGUGCAGCAAGACAGUAAGGAAAUUAAAGAAAAACAAUCAAGGAUUCAUACAUGCUGAGAUUUUUCAGUUAAUAAGUUGGUAUCUAGUGGUGGUAAGCUAUUUAAAAGAGGCUUAUCGGGAAUUUUGUUGAGGUGUCUAUCAGGUGAUGGAGCAAUGGAGGUCAUGCACCAAUUCCAUGCUGGCACCUUGGCGGAGCACUGAGGAAGGCGAAUGCUGUUUCAGCAUUUGCUGCAAUCAGGGAAAAGGGAAAUCCUAGUAUUGGCUGCCAUUCUCAUCCACUCCACCAUAGGUUGGGUUUGUGAAUCUUGCCCAGUGCAUAUCUAAAAACUCAAGGAUGGCAUUCAAUAAAAAUUACAGAGUAUGUUAGAUUAGAGUAUGGUCAGCG